rnacentral:lncRNA from 1 species
GGAUAAAUUACUGCGCACAUGCUGAGGGAAAAGGCAGAUUGGUAGACAGGGGUGGCUAAAAAGCAACCCUGCGAUCCGGUUCCCAGCAAAUCUGCCACUCAAGUUUCUCAUCUCAUCAGGAAUGGGAAGGAACAGAAGGCUCCACUGCGGUGCUGGCUGUGGGCUUAUACGUUGCCGAUCCCUGGGGACUGGACCUAGUGCUAUUCUGCAGAAGGUAAUUGAAGAAACCCUACUAGGAAUGAAGAAACCCAAGUGAAGGAAGGUGACAGAUGGAAAGGAAUGCUUCUAAGCAGUUUUCGUGCAGGGUUGUGAAAAUGAAGCGUCUAUAGAGGAAAAGGACAUGUUUCACAGGCUCAAGGAUUUGAGUUUAAGCUUCAAUAAAGAUGAGAAACAGAGUAGGAAUUUCCCUAGCAGUUCUUUGUACAGAAAUCAGUGUGAAGAUCUGAAGGGCUUCGGUACUGACAGCAACUUCCAAACUGCUUCAAGCUGCUCACCAUCAAAAUGAGCAGCUGGGGCCCCAACCGGCUGGGUCUCCUGGACAGUGUGGACACAUCCCAGGGCUGCCUCUCCUGAAGUAUCGUCACAGAUAAAUGGCUCUGGCAUUAAUCUUCCUAGAAAAAGAAAGUCACAGCAUAAACCAGCCCAUGCUGAUGGCAGCCAACUUGGAAAAUGUUUAACCCUUUAGAAGAAAAAAUAAAGAAGCACAGCCGUUCAUGCUACCCUGAGAUUCUGCCUAGGAUGUCAUGCUUCAUCAAGACAGUUCAGCUUCCCAAGUUGUAGAUAAAAGACAUUCCAUGAAUUUAGGAUGCUCUUUGUCACCCCUGGUGUUAAAGGGAGUCACCAGGUCACAGGAGCAAUGUGAGCAUGAAACGGCAGGAGGAAAAGACAUGACAACAGCUGGGAAGAGGAUGUGAAACAGGCCCAUCAAGAAUGAUGGGGUGAGUGCUCAGAAAGGGCCUUUCCAGGAGAAGUUUCUGGAGAAGAGAGGGAAAAGUGCAGAAAAGCAAGAUUCACAAAAUAUUACAGUGCCAGUCACAGACAUGCAGAUAAAGGAUGAAGAUGAGUAUGCAUUUGUAACAUAUACCCGAAUCAACAAGCUGAACUUCUACAUAAAACAUAAGCUACCAGGAGGCUUUGGGCGAGGCCAUUCAAUAUCUUA